CAAUGCAAGGGAAGAUGUGCCAGAAAAGUUCUUAACCAGUGCCAGUCUAGCCCCCACUCCAGUCCUGAUUCUCACCAUGGCCACUCCGCCAAUUUACUUGCCAUCAGAGAAACAGGCCCUCAUAUUAAAAGGGGGAACCGAGUCUGAUCAGGGUUGGAUCUUUCUUUCUUUCUUUUUUUUUUUUGAGAUGGAGUUUCGCUCGUUACCCAGGCUGGAGUGCAAUGGUGCAACCUCGGCUCACCGCAACCUCCACCUCCUGGGUUCGGGCAAUUCUCCUGCCUCAGCCUCCUGAGUAGCUGGGAUUACAGGCACGCGCCACCAUGCCCAGCUAAUUUUUUGUAUUCUUAGUAGAGACGGGGUUUCACCAUGUUGACCAGGAUGGUCUCGAUCUCUUGACCUCGUAAUCCACCCGCCUCGACCUCCCAAAGUGCUGGGAUUACAGGCUUGAGCCACCGCGCCCAGCCUGGAUCUUUCUAAACAACAGAAUCGCCCUUCCCCGGGAACAGGCCCUAAAAAUUAUUGCUGAAAUCCACCAAUCCUUACAUAUAGGGCCCAAAGUGUUGCACCAUUUCAUGCAGCCCCUCUUUUUCUUGCCAGGUCUGCAACAGACGAUUGAGCAAGUACACAAGGCAUGCGUUACCUGCUCUAAGGUCUUGUCUCAGGGAAGCUUAAGGCCACAGUUUCCUAACCCCCAAAUGCGUGGCCACCUGCCAGCCCAAGACUGGCAGAUUGAUUUUACCCAUAUGCCCACUCACAAAAAAACUCUGCUACCUUCUAACCUUUGUAGAUACCUUUUCUGGAUGGAUUGAAGCCUUUCCCACCUUCAGGGAAACCACAGACAUGGUGGCCGCCCUCUUAAUCCAGGAGAUUAUUUCUCAUUUCGGCUUACCUGAAAACAUCCAGUCAGACAACGGUUCAGCGUUUACAGCUCAGGUGGUCCAGCUGGUCACCAAGUCUCUCAACAUCUUCUGGAAACUACACAUCCCCUACCACCCUCAGUUGUUGGGUAAAGUUGAAUGGGUUCACAACAUCCUCAAGAAUCAUUUGGCCAAACUCACCAAAGAGAUUUCUACAGGCUUUAAAAAAUUUACUUGAACUUCUGGGAUACAUGUGCAGAAUGUGCAGGUUUGUUACAUAGUUCUCCAGCUUCUGCUACACUUUCUCUCUGACCUGGGCUAGGUGAGUGGCCACCUGAAUGGUAUGAGGGAGAAGAUAAAUACUGGAUCUUACAGCAUUCUCCAUUCGAUGGUAGAUCAUUCAAUUAAAUAUUCAUUUAAAGAAUAUUUCUUAAAGGCCUCCUACAUGCCAACAAUUAAUGAUAUACUCCAGACCAGAUGAUACCACUGCCUUCAUGAAGUUCACUUUCUUUCAUUAGAACCAUGGCAUAAGGAAUUUCCUAAAUAAUACAAUAAUUAUAAAACAUAAUUGCAGAUUGCUAUAAAGAAAAAGAAAAAUGUGCCAUAAUUCAGAAAACCAGAAACAACUACUUGAGACAGGGGUUUCACAGAAAGCCUCUUCAAAGAGUUAAAAUUUUGUCAAGUUAUGAAGAAUAAGGGAGAAUUUGCCCUAUCAAGAGAGAGUAUUGCAAGCCAAGAAUGCACAACAACAAAGUCCCUGAGACAGGAAAGAGCUAAGUGUACCCUAGGAAUCAAUAGAAAGCUAAUGUGACCAGAGUAUACUGAGGACAGGUAACCAGGCAGUGUGUCACAAGCGUUAUUCAAGAGCUGAUUUACCCAAAUUCCAGUGGAAAACCAUUAAAUGAUUUUAAACCAAAGACUGUUGUAAUCUCAUUUACAAUUUUAAAAGCUCACUCUGGCCAGUGUGUGUAGAAUGGAUUUAGCACAUAGGGCAAAUAAAAGUAGAAUCAGGAAGUCUAAUUAGGAGGUU
rnacentral:lncRNA from 13 species